rnacentral:rRNA from 1 species
CGGAGGGUGCAAGCGUUGUCCGGAUUUAUUGGGUUUAAAGGGUGCGUAGGCGGCCUUUUAAGUCAGUGGUGGAAUCCUCCAGCUUAACUGGAGAAAUGCCAUUGAUACUGAAAGGCUUGAGUACAGAUGAGGUAGGCGGAAUUGACAGUGUAGCGGUGAAAUGCAUAGAUAUUGUCAAGAACACCUAUUGCGAAGGCAGCUUACUAAGCUGUAACUGACGCUGAGGCACGAAAGUGUGGGGAUCAAACAGGAUUAGAUACCCUGGUAGUCCACACUGUAAACGAUGAUCACUCGAUGUUGGCGAUAUACAGUCAGCGUCCAAGCGAAAGCGUUAAGUGAUCCACCUGGGGAGUACGGUCGCAAGACUG